rnacentral:misc_RNA from 1 species
GAAAUGCGAUAAGUAAUGUGAAUUGCAGAAUUCAGUGAAUCAUCGAAUCUUUGAACGCACAUUGCGCCCCUUGGUAUUCCGGGGGGCAUGCCUGUUCGAGCGUCAUUAACACACUCAAGCUCUGCUUGGUAUUGGGAAUCACUAGUCAUAUAGUGUCCCCUAAAAUCAGUGGCAGUGCCAUCUGGCUUCAAGCGUAGUAAUUUUCUCGCUAUGGAUGUCCAGGUGUCGCCCGCCAAAACAGCCUAAUUUUCUUAAGGUUGACCUCGGAUCAGGUAGGGAUACCCGCUGAACUUAA